rnacentral:lncRNA from 1 species
GCAAUUGGAUAUAUGGACCUGUUUGAGGAGUUUGGAAACACACUGUUUGUAAAGUCUGCAAUUGGAUAUAUGGACCUGUUUGAGGCCUUCGUUGGAAACGGGAUUUCUUCAUUGAAUGCUAGACGGAAGAAUUCUCAGUAAAUUCUUUGUGUUGUGUGCAUUCAACUCACAGAGUGGAACGUCCCUUUAGACAGAGCAGAUUUGAAACACUCUUUUUGCGGAAUUUCCAAGUGGAGAUUUCUAGCCAUUUGAUGCCAACA